rnacentral:rRNA from 1 species
GGUUGCUGGAGGUAUCAGAAGUGCGAAUGCUGACAUAAGUAACGAUAAAGCGGGUGAAAAGCCCGCUCGCCGGAAGACCAAGGGUUCCUGUCCAACGUUAAUCGGGGCAGGGUGAGUCGACCCCUAAGGCGAGGCCGAAAGGCGUAGUCGAUGGGAAACAGGUUAAUAUUCCUGUACUUGGUGUUACUGCGAAGGGGGGACGGAGAAGGCUAUGUUGGCCGGGCGACGGUUGUCCCGGUUUAAGCGUGUAGGCUGGUUUUCCAGGCAAAUCCGGAAAACCAAGGCUGAGGCGUGAUGA